CGGGAACUCAAAGGAGACUGCCAGUGAUAAACUGGAGGAAGGUGGGGAUGACGUCAAGUCAUCAUGGCCCUUACGACCAGGGCUACACACGUGCUACAAUGGCGCAUACAAAGAGAAGCGACCUCGCGAGAGCAAGCGGACCUCAUAAAGUGCGUCGUAGUCCGGAUUGGAGUCUGCAACUCGACUCCAUGAAGUCGGAAUCGCUAGUAAUCGUGGAUCAGAAUGCCACGGUGAAUACGUUCCCGGGCCUUGUACACACCGCCCGUCACACCAUGGGAGUGGGUUGCAAAAGAAGUAGGUAGCUUAACCUUCGGGAGGGCGCUUACCACUUUGUGAUUCAUGACUGGGGUGAAGUCGUAACAAGGUAACCGUAGGGGAACC
rnacentral:rRNA from 1 species